rnacentral:rRNA from 1 species
UACGUAGGGGGCUAGCGUUGUCCGGAAUCAUUGGGCGUAAAGAGCGUGUAGGCGGCCCGGUAAGUCCGCUGUGAAAGUCGGGGGCUCAACCCUCGAAUGCCGGUGGAUACUGUCGGGCUAGAGUGCGGAAGAGGCGAGUGGAAUUCCGUGGUGUAGCGGUGAAAUGCGCAGAUAUCAGGAGGAACACCAAUUGCGAAGGCAGCUCGCUGGGACGUAACUGACGCUGAGACGCGAAAGCGUGGGGAGCAAACAGG